AUUGAACGCUGGCGGCAGGCCUAACACAUGCAAGUCGAGCGAGCGGCGGACGGGUGAGUAAUGUAUGGGGACUGCCCGAUAGAGGGGGAUAACUACUGGAAACGGUGGCUAAUACCGCAUACUAUCGGAUAACCCCUAUGGGAUUAGCUAGUAGGUGGGGUAAAGGCUCACCUAGGCGACGAUCUCUAGCUGGUCUGAGAGGAUGAUCAGCAACACGGGGAUUUGGACACGGCCAGAACUCUUACGGAGGAAGCAGUGGGGAACAUUGCACAUGGGGGGAAAGCCUGAUGCAGCCAUGCCGGUUGGUUGAAGAAGGCCUUAGGGUUUUAAAGUACUUUCAGCGGGGAGGCGUUACCCGCAGAAGAAGCACCGGCUAACUCCGUGCCAGCCGCCGCGGUAAUAC
rnacentral:rRNA from 1 species